GGACAGCUCAACGGUAGAACAUCUGCUUUGCAUGCAGAAGGUCCCAGGCUCAAUCCCCAGCAGCAUCU